GUUUGAUUCUGGCUCAGGAUAAACGCUGGCGGCGUGCCUAACACAUGCAAGUCGAACGCGGUUUGGGGGGCGACUCCUAGACCGAGUGGCGGACGGGUGAGUAACACGUGGGUUAUCUACCUUGAGGUGAGGAAUACCGGCGAGAAAUCGCUGACAAGACCGCAUAGGUUUGGCAAACCAAACAAAGCCGAGCAAUCGGCGCCACAAGAUGAGCCUGCGGCCGAUUAGUUUGGUUGGUGGGGUAACGGCCUACCAAGACGACGAUCGGUAGCUGGUCUGAGAGGACGAUCAGCCACACUGGGAUUGAGAACGGCCCAGACUCCUACGGGGGGCAGCAGUGAGGAAUUUUCAUCAAUGGGGGCAACCCUGAACGAGCAACGCCGCGUGCAGGAAGAAGGUUUUCGGAUCGUAAACUGCUUUUCCCAGGGAAGAGAGAGGACGGUACCUGGGGAAGAAGCCCCGGCUAACUACGUGCCAGCAGCCGCGGUAAUACGUAGGGGGCAAGCGUUGUCCGGAUUUAUUGGGCGUAAAGCGCACGCAGGCGGUCUUGUCAGUUUCCAGUGACAGGUGGUGGCUUAACUGCCACAGGCCUGGAAAGACGGCAAGACUUGAGGGCAAGAGAGGGACGCGGAAUUCCAGGUGGAGCGGUGAAAUGCGUAGAGAUCUGGAAGAACACCGAAGGCGAAGGCAGGCGUCCUGGUUUGUAUCUGACGCUCAAUUGCGAACAGCUAUUGGGAGCGAACGGGAUUAGAUACCCCGGUAGUCCUAGCCGUAAACGAUGACCACUAGACGUGGGAGGUAUCGACCCCUUCCGUGUCGCAGCUUACGCAAGAAGUGGUCCGCCUGGGGAGUACGGUCGCAAGAUUAAAACUCAAAGGAAUUGACGGGGACCCGCACAAGCAGCGGAGCGUGUGGUUUAAUUCGAUGCAACGCGAAGAACCUUACCAAGGCUUGACAUGGAUUUGCACCAGCCGUAACGGGCUGUCAGGGUUCGCCCUGCGGAUUCACAGGUGCUGCAUGGCUGUCGUCAGCUCGUGUCGUGAGAUGUUGGGUUAAGUCCCGCAACGAGCGCAACCCCUAUCGUUAGUUAAAUGGUCUAGCGAGACUGCCACGCUAAACGUGGAGGAAGGUGGGGAUGACGUCAAGUCAGCACGGCCCUUACGCCUUGGGCGACACACACGCUACAAUGGUCGGGACAAAGAGCCAGCCAACCCGCGAGGGGGAGCCAAUCUCAUCAAACCCGAUCUCAGUUCAGAUUGCAGGCUGCAACCCGCCUGCAUGAAGGAGGAGUUGCUAGUAACCGUGAGUCAGCACAUCACGGUGAAUACGUUCCCGGGUCUUGUACACACCGCCCGUCACACCACGAAAGUCGGCAACACCUGAAGCCGCCGAGCUGACCCGAAUACGGGGGGCAAGCGUCGAGGGUGGGGUUGGUGAUUGGGGUGAAGUCGUAACAAGGUAACC
rnacentral:rRNA from 1 species